rnacentral:sRNA from 1 species
CUUCGUACGCUUGUUGUGGGCAGAUGAGGUGGAUGUGUGAGUCGAAACCGCCGGCUGUCAAGAUGAGGCCUUCUCCAGCAAUCACGUCGGUGCCGUUGCCAACGAUGAGGUCCUUGUGUACACCGGCCAUGACGUCGGGGUUUCCGGCUUUGCCAAUGCCCUUGAUCACGCCAUGUUUAAUGCCAACGUCCGCCUUGUAGAUACCUGUCCAGUCGAUGAUGAGAGCGUUUGUAAUGACAGUGUCGAGAACCUCGUCGUCGCGCCGGUUACUGGCUUGGCCCAUACCUUCACGGAG